UCAACCUUGGUUUUUCGAUAGUAGAGCAACCAAUAAUGUUACCAACAAUCUACAAAAUUUGGAAAUUUCUCAACCUGUUCAUGAGACUGAAGGUGUUUUGGUUGGCAAUGGCACUUGUCUUCAAGUGACACACACUGGACAAGACUACUCACAAGAUUCUCUACCAGGGGCCAUGUCACAAGGGGCUCUAUCCACUUUUGAGCAAGUUUAAAAGUCCACUUUCACUUUCUCAGCAAUCUUCCACAGCUUUUGUGAGUUCUGUUUCUUCUUUUGCUGAGUUGUGGCAUAGGAGACUUUGUCAUCCCAGUCCUCCUUUGUUCAAUGCUUUAAUAAAACAACUUAGUAUACCUGUGUCCAAGUCUGUUUUGUUGAAUUGUUCAUGUUGUAAUAUGGCCAAGAGUCAUAAACUGCAAUUUCCUUUGUCUGUGUCUCAAACUACUGCACCCUUUCAACUUGUUCACAUGGAUGUUUGGGAACCUUCACCACUCCCUUCUAAUAAAGGUUUUCGUUA